GCCUGGGUGAUGGAAUUGGUAGACAUGACGGACUUAAAAUCCGUUGGCCGAAUGUGGCCGUGCCGGUUCGAGUCCGGCCCCGGGCACAA
rnacentral:tRNA from 1 species